UUUUAUGGAGAGUUUGAUCCUGGCUCAGGACGAACGCUGGCUGCGUGCUUAACACAUGCAAGUCGAACGCUGAAGCCUGGUGCUUGCACCGGGUGGAUGAGUGGCGAACGGGUGAGUAACACGUGAGUAACCUGCCCCUGACUUCGGGAUAAGCCCGGGAAACUGGGUCUAAUACCGGAUACGACCGUCGGACGCAUGUCUGGUGGUGGAAAGUUUUUUCGGUUGGGGAUGGGCUCGCGGCCUAUCAGUUUGUUGGUGAGGUAAUGGCUCACCAAGACGACGACGGGUAGCCGGCCUGAGAGGGCUACCGGCCACACUGGGACUGAGACA
rnacentral:rRNA from 1 species